CCUUGACAUACUAAGAACUUUCCAGAGAUGGAUUGGUGCCUUCGGGAACUUAGAUACAGGUGCUGCAUGGCUGUCGUCAGCUCGUGUCGUGAGAUGUUGGGUUAAGUCCCGCAACGAGCGCAACCCUUUUCCUUAUUUGCCAGCGGGUAAUGCCGGGAACUUUAAGGAUACUGCCAGUGACAAACUGGAGGAAGGCGGGGACGACGUCAAGUCAUCAUGGCCCUUACGGCCAGGGCUACACACGUGCUACAAUGGUCGGUACAAAGGGUUGCUACCUCGCGAGAGGAUGCUAAUCUCAAAAAGCCGAUCGUAGUCCGGAUCGCAGUCUGCAACUCGACUGCGUGAAGUCGGAAUCGCUAGUAAUCGCGGAUCAGAAUGCCGCGGUCGAAUACGUUCCCGGGCCUUGUACACAUCGCCCGUCACACCAUGGGAGUUUGUUGCACCAGAAGUAGGUAGUCUAACCGCAAGGAGGACGCUUACCACGGUGUGGCCGAUGACUGGGGUGAAGUCGUAACAAGGUAAGCGUAGAUGA
rnacentral:rRNA from 1 species